CCUUUCUACGGAGAAUUCAGGCCGCUGUCUAGCGGCCGGUGUCGUCCAUCGUCUGGCCGGUUGGUCCGGCUGGUGGUGGACUGCUGGUGUGGAAUGCGGUCGUUGGCUUUGUGGUAUGGGACGCGCUUUUGGGCUCCCGGACCGCCACCCCCGUCCCUCGUGGAUGGGUGGGGUUCGUGCCGGCCCGUGGCCGUGGCCUCCUGGUGGGGUCGUGGUUCGUGGGUCGUGCGUGGUGGUUUGAGAACUGGAUAGUGGACGCGAGCAAGUAUUUUUGUACUUGCUUUUGUAGUUUCGAAUGCAUGGCCCCCGUGUGGGGUCGUGCGGAUCGUUUUGUGAUCAUUUGUGUGAUGAUUUGUCGUCUGGGAGUUCAGAUGUCGAUGGGUCCUUGCGGUUGGCGUGCGCGUUGGCGUGU
rnacentral:misc_RNA from 1 species